rnacentral:sRNA from 1 species
GCCCGGUGUGGUAGUGCACGUCCGUAAUCCCAGCGGCUCUGGAGGCUGAGGCAGGAGGAUUAUGAGUUUAAAGCCAGCCUCAGCACUUUAGCAAGGCUCUUAGUAACUUUUUGAGAUCCUGUCUCUA